CAGUAGCCGCGGGAAUACAGAGGGUGCGAGCGUUAAUCGGAUUUACUGGGCGUAAAGCGUGCGUAGGCGGCUUUUUAAGUCGGAUGUGAAAUCCCUGAGCUUAACUUAGGAAUUGCAUUCGAUACUGGGAAGCUAGAGUAUGGGAGAGGAUGGUAGAAUUCCAGGUGUAGCGGUGAAAUGCGUAGAGAUCUGGAGGAAUACCGAUGGCGAAGGCAGCCAUCUGGCCUAAUACUGACGCUGAGGUACGAAAGCAUGGGGAGCAAACAGGAUUAGAUACCCCUGUAGUCCCUGUCCUCUUAUA
rnacentral:rRNA from 1 species